UCGUUUUCAUAAAAGUUAAAGUUGACGAAUUUUAGUGCGGCAAGCGUAAACUCGGAAACCAAACAGUUCCUUCUCGAUCAACACGGUCUCUCACCUUCCCGCCGGGAAACACCACCGGUACGGAUUCCAUGGACCCGCCCGAUGAUAUCGCCGAUCAAUUUUCUCUGUUCCCUCCCAUCCCAUUCACUCUUUACGAUCCCCACGAAAUCCCCAAUCCCGAACCUAUUCCUGGUUUUCUUCCUAACUUCAACCCUAACCCUAACCAGAAUUCGGAUCCAACUUCAUUCCCGAGCUCAAGCCAAGUUUCCGAAACUGGCUCAAGCCACAUUCUCUCUUUCUCGAUCCCCAAGAAGCGACGGCGAGGCAGGCCGCAGCGCAGUUCGACGUCGUUCAACAUUGCUCAUUUUCCUAAUGGGACUGACUUAAACCCCAACGGUAAUGAUUUCACUUCUGCUUCUUCUAAUUCCAUUUCAGUCAAUUCAAUCAGGAACAAUGUAGGAAACGCUAAUUCUUUACCCCGCGCUGCGCCCGAUACUUCCGACGAGAUCAUCGUGAUCAACAGAGAAUCCACGGCUGAAGCAGUGGUUGCGCUUACUGCCGGUUUCCCGGCCGAUUCCCUAACCGAUGAAGAAAUCGACGCCGGGGUUCUCCCCGUCAUCGGGGGAAUUGAACAGGUCAAUUACAUUCUAAUUCGGAACCACAUUAUCGCGAAAUGGCGCGAGAACGUGUCUAAUUGGGUUACCAAGGAGAUGUUUGUUGAUACUAUACCCAAACAUUGUCACACACUUUUAGACUCUGCUUACAAUUAUCUUGUUUCACAUGGAUAUAUUAAUUUUGGGGUUGCACCGGCUAUCAAGGAGAAGAUUCCUUCCGAACCCAGUAAGCCGAAUGUGGUUGUGAUUGGUGCUGGCCUUGCGGGUCUAGCCGCUGCGAGGCAAAUGAUGCGUGUCGGGUUUAAAGUGACUGUAUUGGAGGGAAGGAAGCGCGCAGGUGGGCGGGUUUAUACGAAGAAAAUGGAGGGGGGAAAUAGGGUAUUCGCGGCAGCAGAUUUAGGUGGGAGUGUUUUGACAGGUACAUUAGGAAACCCUCUUGGGAUUGUUGCAAGGCAAUUGGGUUCAACCUUUCAUAAGGUGAGAGACAAGUGCCCGUUGUAUAGUUCGGAGGGGAAGCCUGUAGACCAUGACAUGGAUAUGAAGGUGGAAUAUGAUUUUAACCAUCUUCUGGAUAAAGCGAGUAGGCUUAGGCAGUUGAUGGGGGAUGUAUCAGUUGAUGUUUCUCUUGGCGCGGCCUUGGAAACGUUCAGACAGGUUUAUGGGGAUGAUGUAGAUGCUGAGGAAAUGAAGUUGUUCAAUUGGCAUCUUGCAAAUUUAGAAUAUGCGAAUGCAGGCUUAAUAUCAAAGCUUUCACUUGCGUUUUGGGACCAAGAUGACCCGUACGAUAUGGGAGGUGAUCAUUGCUUCUUGCCUGGAGGGAAUGGAAGGCUGGUUCAGGCCUUGGCGGAGAAUGUUCCAAUUUUGUAUGAGAAAACUGUGAACACAAUUAGGUAUGGUAACCAUGGGGUGCAAGUAGUAGCUGGCAACCAGGUUUUUGAGUGUGAUAUGGCAUUGUGCACUGUGCCUCUUGGGGUUUUGAAAAGUGGGUCCAUCAAAUUUAUUCCAGAGUUGCCUCAGAGAAAGCUUGAUGGGAUAAAGAGAUUAGGAUUUGGAUUGCUGAAUAAGGUUGCAAUGCUUUUUCCUCACGCGUUUUGGGGUACAGAUCUUGAUACCUUUGGACACCUUUCUGAUGAUCCCAGCCGUCGAGGGGAAUUUUUUCUAUUUUACAGUUAUGCUACAGUUGCUGGCGGUCCUCUCUUGAUUGCUUUAGUGGCAGGGGAAGCAGCACAUAAGUUUGAGUGCAUGCCUCCUACUGAUGCAGUAACACUGGUUCUUCAAAUUCUCAAGGGUAUAUAUGAACCACAAGGAAUAAAUGUCCCAGAGCCUAUUCAAACCGUAUGUACCAGAUGGGGAAGUGAUCCUUUUAGCCUAGGUUCUUAUUCUAAUGUUGCAGUUGGGGCAUCAGGAGACGACUAUGAUAUUUUAGCAGAAAGUGUUGGAGAUGGGAGACUAUUCUUUGCAGGGGAGGCCACCACCAGGCGGUACCCUGCAACUAUGCAUGGGGCUUUUCUUACUGGGCUGAGGGAAGCUGCAAAUAUGGCUCACCAUGCUAAUGCUCGAUCUUUGAAGAUAAAAGUUGGAAGGAAUCCAUCAAAGAAUGCCCACUCUUGUGCUUCUCUUCUUGCAGAUUUAUUUAGGGAGCCUGAUUUAGAAUUCGGGAGUUUUUCUAUUAUCUUUGGUCGUAAAAAUGCUGAUCCAAAGUCACCGGCAAUUUUAAGAGUGACAUUUAAUGAACCGCGAAAGAAGAGUCAUGAAGGUUCAAAACCUGACCAACAACAUUCAAAUAAGUUGCUUUUCCAGCAGCUUCAAUCACACUUUAAUCAGCAGCAACAGCUGCAUGUUUACACUUUGUUGUCAAGGCAACAGGCACUUGAGCUGAGAGAAGUAAGAGGAGGUGAUGAGAUGAGGUUAAAUUACCUAUGUGAAAAACUUGGAGUGAAAUUGGUGGGAAGAAAAGGUUUGGGGUCUACUGCUGAUUCUGUUAUUGCUGCCAUAAAAGCUCAGAGAGGAAAUCGGAAACCUACUUCAACUUCUGGUAAGACAAGUACGUCAAAGCUGAAAACUGGCACUUUAAAACGGAAGUUGGUCAGAAGGGCUAAAGUAGUGGGAAAGAGAAAUGGGUUGGCCACUCCUCCCAAUUCAAAUUUCGUAAAUGGAAAAGUCUCGGAGGAAACUAGGACUGUGCAUCAAGCAUCUUCUACUACUCUGGGGCCAGGGCAGGGUGACAUGUUAAAGCAAUGAAUGGAUCACCUCUUCUUGUCGAGAAGUGAGAUCCCUUUAAUUGACAGUGAAAGCGGUUCUUGGAGAUUACUAUGUUUUACCCAGCUUUUUCAGUUUAUUAUGCUGGGUAUGGUCCUUUUAGACGCAAAUUCAUUCGAUCACCUUGGCACUUGUUAUUUCUUCUCUCUCCUUUUUUUGGAUUGAUCACAAUUCAACGGUGGUAAACUGGCACUGUUAUACUGUGGCGAUAUGUACUCUUCCUUACAGAAGCACUAUACUGCUGACACGUUUACUUUGGUCGGUUACAAGAUCAAUCAGCCUGGUGAAUAACUGAAUUACUGCAAUCGUUGUUUUGAAAUUGGCUUAAUUAACUGGACUUGGUUACUGUUAGCCCCUUAGACUCGGAGAGGCACGGUGGCAUGGUGGCUGGUGCAUCAUGGCCACUGGCCUAGGCACCAAGGCAUGCUGGCAGGGGCAGCAUGGCCUUGAGCCAAGACUUGGCUGGUCAGGAUGAUCAGCAUCGUAGGCACAUGGCGCGGUGUGAGUGCUGAGCUGUCCUUGUUGGGUGUUCGAGUGUGCAUGGAGCUCAGCCGUCUGGCGCAGUGACUUGGCUGUGUGCCUAGUCAGCACGCCAGGUGGCAUGGGGCGCCACAAAACUCGGAAGGAAGUGUGGCUUAGCGCGUGUGAUGGGCGGUUACUAGUGGUUACUGGCCUUUGUGGCGUGCAGAUGAGACUUGGAGCCUCUGGGGCAGAUAAGGUCGACAGAUGGCACAGUGCAUGGGCAGACAGCAUAUCUGGCAGUUACGCUGACUAGCCAGACACACCCAGAUGGCCCUGGCUGGUUAGCCUAGGCGGUUGGGGGUUGUCAACCGGAUCUGUAUGGCUUAUAUUCACAAUUAUGUGCAGUGAAAUGGGCAAUGUCAUGAUCCUGCAAAGUCUGUAAACACUUUGUAUUCCUUUAUUGAGAGAAAAAUAAAGGUUGGGAGGGGAUUUCCCGUAUAUUGUGUACCUUAUGUUUCUGAUUGUUGCUGGUUGCUUUUCUACGUGUGAUUGCUGAUUCAUUUGUGCUGACUGAAUGAGGAUCACUUAGGCCAUCACGGUGGUGCAACUUUGUGUGAAUAAUUAGCCCUGUGACGGUUAGCAUGGUCCACAUAUUUGGCACUAGGCCACAGAUGAAGCACAGCAGCACGUUCCUGUGUAAUAGAGUACCUACUAGCCUCGGCAUAUCAAGUUCAUUGCGCUGUGGGAGAGUAGUUCCCGCUCAAUGAUGAAGUUUUAAAUAGGAUCCUAGUAACUCUUGAUGCUUGAACAGGAAUAGAAGCACGAUUCUCCUCCCAGGUAUUCAUCAUUUUCUUCAUCACAAGUGCACAGUUACAGCCUAAAGGUGUAAGCUAUUAAGCCGAAAAAGAUUUGUAUCCAAUCUCCUCGCACUUCAUCAGGGAGAUUAUAACAUGAUGUUAGGAUUUACUGUUGUUUACCUUUACUUUGAGCUGGGUUGCAACUUGCACGGCUUGGAAUCAGUAACUAUCUUGAAUCUUCUGUAAUUCGGAAAUUAUUUUGACUUAUGAACCAUGGUAACUCCAGGACGCUUGAUGUGCAAGUUCCACAGCUUUUGUUUCCCGUGGAAUACUGGUCAAUUUGUUUCAUUUUUGGUAACUAUUUCUCUCCGUUCCUUAAAUGAGGUCGGAGAUAUACUUUUUCAUGUACGUGAUUCUAGGGGACUUGGUGUUUAGAUUUCGUAUUGAUGUACAUUCAGAUUCCUAAAACAAUCAAAUGAAAAUGAUUGUCAUACGUUUGUAAAAUGAGCAGAUAUUGCAGUUGAAUUUGCCUAGAGCAACUGAUGUAUCAUUAUUGUCAUUCUCUGAGGUUGGUUGGUCACCAAAAAAAAUAAUAAUA